GAUGAACGCUGGCGGCGUGUCUAAUACAUGCAAGUCGAGCGAACAGACGAGGAGCUUGCUCCUCUGAUGUUAGCGGCGGACGGGUGAGUAACACGUGGAUAACCUACCUAUAAGACUGGGAUAACUUCGGGAAACCGGAGCUAAUACCGGAUAACAUGUUGAACCGCAUGGUUCAACAGUGAAAGACGGUCUUGCUGUCACUUAUAGAUGGAUCCGCGCCGCAUUAGCUAGUUGGUAAGGUAACGGCUUACCAAGGCAACGAUGCGUAGCCGACCUGAGAGGGUGAUCGGCCACACUGGAACUGGGACACGGUCCAGACUCCUACGGGAGGCAGCAGUAGGGAAUCUUCCGCAAUGGGCGAAAGCCUGACGGAGCAACGCCGCGUGAGUGAAGAAGGUCUUCGGAUCGUAAAACUCUGUUAUUAGGGAAGAACAAAUGUGUAAGUAACUAUGCACGUCUUGACGGUACCUAAUCAGAAAGCCACGGCUAACUACGUG
rnacentral:rRNA from 1 species